CCCUACGGGGGGCAGCAGUGGGGAAUAUUGCACAAUGGGGGAAACCCUGAUGCAGCAACGCCGCAUGAGUGAAGAAGUAUUUCGGUAUGUAAAGCUCUAUCAGCAGGGAAGAAAAUGACGGUACCUGACUAAGAAGCCCCGGCUAACUACGUGCCAGCAGCCGCGGUAAUACGUAGGGGGCAAGCGUUAUCCGGAUUUACUGGGUGUAAAGGGAGCGUAGGCGGCGAUGCAAGUCAGAAGUGAAAGCCCGGGGCUCAACUCCGGGACUGCUUUUGAAACUGUAUGGCUAGAUUGCAGGAGAGGCA
rnacentral:rRNA from 1 species